rnacentral:rRNA from 1 species
UACGUAGGGUGCAAGCGUUGUCCGGAAUUAUUGGGCGUAAAGAGCUCGUAGGCGGCUUGUCACGUCGGGUGUGAAAGCCCGGGGCUUAACCCCGGGUCUGCAUUCGAUACGGGCUAGCUAGAGUGUGGUAGGGGAGAUCGGAAUUCCUGGUGUAGCGGUGAAAUGCGCAGAUAUCAGGAGGAACACCGGUGGCGAAGGCGGGUCUCUGGGCCGAUACUGACGCUGAGGAGCGAAAGCGUGGGGAGCGAACAGG